rnacentral:rRNA from 1 species
AUUGCCCUAGUAACGGCGAGUGAAGCGGCAACAGCUCAAAUUUGAAAUCUGGCCCUCGUGGUCCGAGUUGUAAUUUGUAGAGGAUGCUUUUGGCGCGGUGCCUUCUGAGUUCCCUGGAACGGGACGCCAGAGAGGGUGAGAGCCCCGUACGGUUGGACACCUAGCCUCUGUAUAGCUCCUUCGACGAGUCGAGUAGUUUGGGAAUGCUGCUCUAAAUGGGAGGUAAAUUUCUUCUAAAGCUAAAUACCGGCCAGAGACCGAUAGCGCACAAGUAGAGUGAUCGAAAGAUGAAAAGCACUUUGAAAAGAGGGUUAAAUAGCACGUGAAAUUGUUGAAAGGGAAGCGUUUGCGACCAGACCUUUUCCUGGCGGAUCAUCCGGUGUUCUCACCGGUGCACUUCGCUUGGUUUAGGCCAGCAUCGGUUUUCUUAGGGGGAUAAAGGCUUAGGGAACGUAGCUCCUCCGGGAGUGUUAUAGCCCUCUGCGUAAUACCCUUCAGGGGACCGAGGACCGCGCUCUGCAAGGAUGCUGGCGUAAUGGUCGUCAACGACCCGUCUUGAAACACGGACCAAGGAGUCGAACAUUUGUGCGAGUGUUUGGGUGUUAAACCCUCACGCGUAAUGAAAGUGAACGGAGGUGAGAGCCCUUACGGGUGCAUCAUCGACCGAUCCUGAUGUCUUCGGAUGGAUUUGAGUAAGAGCAUAACUGUUCGGACCCGAAAGAUGGUGAACUAUGCGUGGAUAGGGUGAAGCCAGAGGAAACUCUGGUGGAGGCUCGCAGCGGUUCUGACGUGCAAAUCGAUCGUCAAAUCUGCGCAUGGGGGCGAAAGACUUAUCGAACCAUCUAGUAGCUGGUUACCGCCGAAGUUUCCCUCAGGAUAGCAGUGUUGUCUUCAGUUUUAUGAGGUAAAGCGAAUGAUUAGGGACUCGGGGGCGCUAUUUAGCCUUCAUCCAUUCUCAAACUUUAAAUAUGUAAGAAGCCCUUGUUACUUAAUUGAACGUGGGCAUUCGAAUGUACCAACACUAGUGGGCCAUUUUUGGUAAGCAGAACUGGCGAUGCGGGAUGAACCGAACGCGGGGUUAAGGUGCCAGAGUGGACGCUCAUCAGACACCACAAAAGGUGUUAGUACAUCUUGACAGCAGGACGGUGGCCAUGGAAGUCGGAAUCCGCUAAGGACUGUGUAACAACUCACCUGCCGAAUGUACUAGCCCUGAAAAUGGAUGGCGCUCAAGCGUCUCACCCAUACCUCGCCCUCAGGGUAGAAACGAUGCCCUGAGGAGUAGGCGGCCGUGGAGGUUAGUGACGAAGCCUAG